rnacentral:rRNA from 1 species
CCUACGGGAGGCAGCAGUGGGGAAUAUUGGACAAUGGGGGGAACCCUGAUCCAGCGACGCCGCGUGAGUGAAGAAGUAUUUCGGUAUGUAAAGCUCUAUCAGCAGGGAAGAAAGAAAUGACGGUACCUGACUAAGAAGCACCGGCUAAUUACGUGCAAGCAGCCGCGGUAAUACGAAGGGGGCAAGCGUUAUCCGGAUUUACGGGGUGUAAAGGGAGGGUAGACGGGGUUACAAGUCAGAAGUGAAAGGCGGGGGCGCAACCCCGGGACUGCUCUUGGAACUGCGUGGCUGGAGUGCAGGAGAGGCAGACGGAAUUCCUGGUGUAGCGGUGAAAUGCGUAGAUAUCAGGAGGAACACCGGUGGCGAAGGCGGCCUGCUGGACUGCAACUGACGUUGAGGCCCGAAAGCGUGGGGAGCAAACAGGAUUAGAUACCCUGGUAGUC